UUAUCCGGAUUUAUUGGGUGUAAAGGGUGCGUAGACGGGAAGACAGUUGGUUGUGAAAGCCCUCGGCUCAACUGAGGAACUGCAACCAAAACUAUCAUUCUUGAGUGCGGGAGAGGAAAGUGGAAUUCCUAGUGUAGCGGUGAAAUGCGUAGAUAUUAGGAGGAACACCAGUGGCGAAGGCGACUUUCUGGACCGUAACUGACGUUGAGGCACGAAAGUGUGGGGAGCAAACAGGAUUAGAUACCCUGGUAGUCCACACCGUAAACGAUGGAUACUAGGUGUAGGGAACGAUAUGUUUUCUGUGCCGAAAGCAAACGCAAUAAGUAUCCCACCUGGGGAGUACGGCCGCAAGGUUGAAACUCAAAGGAAUUGACGGGGGCCCGCACAAGCAAUGGAUUAUGUGGUUUAA
rnacentral:rRNA from 1 species